CAAAGUGAAAACUGGUUUGGGUUUGUGCAAGCUCAGACAAGAUCUGUUGAGCACACCUCUGGGAAAAUUCACUUUUCUUAAGAGGGCGUGAAUUUUUUGCCUUCCAUGUGUGUGUGUGUGUGUGUGUGUGUGUGUGUGUGUGUGUGUUUUGUUUAAACUGCCUUCGUAUAGAUGUGCAAGCGUGACUUCAUGUCUGGAAAAAGCCCUGUUUCAGGAAGUCUGAGUGCCGCAAAUGGUGUAACACAAGAACCAGGAUGCGCAGCCACGUGUCCAUCCAAAGCCAAGUCCAACGCAGGACCAAGACCCGGGUUCUGUCCUUUAGCUCUGAGAUCCUUCCUCUUCUUGCCCUUCAGCCAGCCCAAGGCCCGGCCCAGGGAGUGACUGCGUUUUUUCCUCCCUUUAUUACUGUGCUUCUCUUGAGCAAAGAUCUCAACCACAUCAUGGGGAAUCAGCUCCCCGAAUCCCAGAGAGUCACGGUUUGACAUCCCACCACUUUCUGGAAAUAUUCCCUGGAAAAAAAGAACAAAGCCCAUGUUGUUCCUGGGAUGUUUUAAAGCUUUAUUGGACACACCACAAAAGUAACUAUAGUGACAGUGACAGAUUAUUCACCAUAAACAGGUUUAGAGCCUAUAGUGUACAUUAGUGGGUCUGUGUGUGUUGUUGUGUUUGUGAGUCUCUGUGGGCACGACGCACAAGGCAGCCAACUUUGGUCCCCUUUACAGCCUCAAACCAAACUUUUUUAAGUUCUGCAAAGAAAGGCCUGGCACCGCUCCCUUCAUUCCACAACAUGGAGUCAUGACUCACAAGCCACACCCCAAAACCCACACACCGACACACACACACACUUACUACACACGAACACACCAGGAAGCUAAAAGCAGGGAUAUAAACAAUCCCUGUAGAGCAUCAAAGUUCACAUCUGAGCAGCUUCAUGUUAUUUUCAAUCAUUUUCGCUCUUUCAUCUUUUUUCAUUCUCCAUGAGCUCAUUGCAUUCCCUCUUCCUCCCUCCUUUACCUCACUAAACUCCUUCUCCUCUUGGGGAUCUAAGAGUCUCUUCAUACUUUAUUAAAUAUUCUACUUUGAGUCUAAAUACAGUUUUACAGGAAUAUGGUCACGUAUAAUGAACGUUGAGAAUGACAGAUUAUUGAAUCCUUGCUUCAUUAUUCAAGCAAGUUGCUCAAAUGUUGUUGGUUCAUGCAACCCCCCUACCCCAGAAACUAAUUUAAGCAUGACCAAACGUCAUAGCUUGUGACUCCUUCAGCAUGAAUCACAUUAAAAGUAAAAUUCCCCCACAGUGCCUGUCAGCCCCUGCAAUAAACACUACGCAGUUGUUUAGGGCCACGUCAUUCACAUGGUCACUUUAGUAGCUGAUCAUCAACGUAGUCUGCAGGUGUUGCUUGUUCUACUUUGAUAGACUGAACCGUCUAAAGAAUAAAAUUAUACUUUGUUUCUGCUAAACUACUAAGUCAACAUGUCUUUUGUGAUAGUUUAAGUUGGGUAAAAAAGGGGAAAAAAAGGACCUAAGAUUGAACCUUGAGGAACACCACUAAUAUAACAAAAGAAGUUGAACAAAUGACUACGGACUGCAUUUGUAAUAAGCAAACGACAGCAACACCUUAGUUACAUAAAUCACAUUACAAAAUAAUUUUUCAUGGCCAAAAAAGGAGAGGACUUAAAAAGCCCUGAGGAACACCUCAGUUAUGUGAAUCACAAGUUUGGCCCCAAUAUUCCAGGAUGUCAAGGCAAGGAUCUGCCAAUGUGUUUACAUUGGCCCAAGUUCCUCUUUACAACACAGAGCACUCUUGUGUUUUUAGGAAUUUGCGGCAAAAAUGUUUGUCUCCCAAGUUUUAAACCGAAGUCGGGGUGGGAACGGCCUCAUUCUUGGAAUAGCCCUGCACUGGCAUGUUACAACGGUAAUAUUAAAGUAAAAAAAGUUGCCACAAACAAAACCUUGUUUAGGGCCAAAAAAAGCCUAAAACUAACCCUGUUACAAAAUAAACACAGGGUGUCAACAGUCAAAGCAGCAGACAUAAAUCAGUUUGGAAGAAAGAUCAUGAACAUUUUUGGGCAACUUUUUAGCUAUCACAGCACGCCAAAAGCUGUGUAGGACAUUGUGGAGAAAUGGGAGGGAAUAUGCCAUAAAAUACUAUAAAAGUUAAAUGCCUGCCUAAAAAUAUAUAUACACAGCUUCGGUAGGUGGGGUUUCUUAUUUUCACAUGGAAAAGUUCCACUUGGCUACUAGUGUUCAUCACAGUGAAAGGCCUUUAACAAGACAAUGCAUACAUUUUAUGAGGCAAAAUUACCAGGUCUUCCUUGCUGCACUGAUCCCGGUGUUUCUGCAGCUCUAAAUUACAGUCAUUAAGGCGAUGACAAAGACCUGGGUAUGUGUAUAAGAUCCCCAAGAUUUAGAAGCUUUUCUUUGGAAACAAGGCUUGCCUCAUUUGUUUACAGCCCAGGGGCUGCUGUGAGCGCCACAACCUCCCUGAUUAUUUGCUCCAAAGGGGAACCAGAGUAGUUCCUCUGUCGUAGGAUAUGGCGAAAGGACCACCCAGUGACUUGCCCUGCAGUCGGCUCUCAAGGAGUUGACUCACGCUGCUUGCUAUUUCCACGGUUACACUUAAAAGCCUGUGAGUAUUAGUCUUGCCGACAAGUUUAAAGAAGGAAGAAACACUAAGAAUAAAACUGUCAAACCUUGGAAAUUAA